rnacentral:rRNA from 1 species
UCCAGACUCCUACGGGAGGCAGCAGUGGGGAAUAUUGGGCAAUGGAGGAAACUCUGACCCAGCAACGCCGCGUGAAUGAUGAAGGUCUUCGGAUUGUAAAGUUCUUUUCUAAGGGAAGAUGAAAGUGACGGUACCUUAGGAAUAAGCCUCGGCUAACUACGUGCCAGCAGCCGCGUUAAUACGUAGGAGGCAAGCGUUAUCCGGAAUGACUGGGCGUAAAGGGUGCGUAGGUGGUUUGACAAGUUGGUAGCGUAACUCCGAGGCUUAACCUCGGCACUACUACCAAAACUGUUGGACUCGAGUGCAGGAGGGGCAAAUGGAAUUCCUAGUGUGGCGGUGGAAUGCGUAGAUAUUAGGAGGAACACCAGUGGCGAAGGCGGCUUACUGGACUGUAACUGACGUUGAGGCUCGAAAGCGUGGGGAGCAAACAGGAUUAGAUACCCCUGUA